AUCUUUUCCAUGGGACUUUUAAUUCCGGCUGAAUUCUCAGUAAUAACCGGCUCAAGCGCUCUCUUCAACUCUAUCAAAACUUUUCGGACUACCAAUUUGACCAAUUGUCUUACAUACCCAUUAGCAACUCUCUCUGAUUCCCAUCCCUUCAAGGAAGCCACUUCUGCGAGCGCUUGCCUCCAUACUUUC